AAUGCAACAUCUGAUCAGGCAAUAACUGAAGAAGAAGAGGAGGAAUUAAAUAAUGUAGAAGAAAGGCUGAUUAAUCUAGGAAAAGAUUUUGUAAACACCUUGUGUGGUAGCACCAAUGAAUCAGAAAGAAAAAAUGAGCCUGCCCCUUCCUUCUUAUCACCAAACACAGCAAAAUGGUGGACAACACUAACACCAAAUAGAAAAGAAGUAUUUCAAAAGG